GACGAACGCUGGCGGCGUGCUUAACACAUGCAAGUCGAACGGAAAGGCCCUUCGGGGUACUCGAGUGGCGAACGGGUGAGUAACACGUUGGUGAUCUGCCCUGCACUUUGGGAUAAGCCUGGGAAACUGGGUCUAAUACCGAAUAGGACCACGCGCUUCAUGGUGUGUGGUGGAAAGCUUUUGCGGUGUGGGAUGGGCCCGCGGCCUAUCAGCUUGUUGGUGGGGUAAUGGCCUACCAAGGCGACGAAGGGUAGCCGGCCUGAGAGGGUGACCGGCCACACUGGGACUGAGAUACGGCCCAGAAUCCUACGGGAGGCAGCAGUGGGGAAUAUUGCACAAUGGGCGCAAGCCUGAUGCAGCGACGCAGCGUGAGGGAUGACGGCCUUCGGGUUGUAAACCUCUUUCAAUAGGGACGAAGCGCAAGUGACGGUACCUAUAGAAGAAGCACCGGCCAACUACGUG
rnacentral:rRNA from 1 species